rnacentral:rRNA from 1 species
CUACGGGUUGCUCCAGUGGGGAAUAUUGGACAAUGGGGGAAGCCCUGAUCCAGCAAUGCCGCGUGUGUGAAGAAGGCCUGCGGGUUGUAAAGCACUUUCGGUUGGGAGGACUGCUUCUAGCACUAAUAUUGUUGGAAGUUGACGUUACCUUCAGAAGAAGCACCGGCUAACUCCGUGCCAGCAGCCGCGGGAAUACGGAGGGUGCAGGCGUUAAUCGGAAUUACUGGGCGUAAAGCGCGCGUAGGCGGCUAGAUCAGUCGGGUGUGAAAGCCCCGGGCUUAACCUGGGAACUGCAUCCGAUACUGUCUAGCUUGAGUACAGGAGAGGAGAGUGGAAUUCCACAUGUAGCGGUGAAAUGCGUAGAUAUGUGCAGGAACACCAAUGGCGAAGGCAGCUCUCUGGCCUGAUACUGACGCUGAGGUGCGAAAGCGUGGGGAGCAAACAGGAUUAGAUACCCCCGUAGUC